AGUCCCAAAUACUUAGCAAAAUUAGGUCUUCUCUCCAACCAAAAUUAGGUCUUCUCUACAAAUAACUUCAAUCUUCAAUCUGAAAAUCCCUAAAUCCUCCGAUAUCGCCGCCCACGCCCUCUCUCUGGCUCCUCAGUCCACCCACGCCCUCCGUCCGGUAGCCUCCCCUUGCCGCCAACAGCCACAGCAACAGGGUCGCCAUCGCCAACCGCUCCUCGCCGCUCGCCACCGACCACCGUAGUCCAUACGCAGCCACGCACUCACUCUCCUCGCCACCGACCACCGUAGGAACGCCGUCUACCACCAGUGACCAGUCGGCAGUCUCCUUGCUCCUCGCCACCGUAGCCUCACGCCGUCUACCACCAGUGACCAGUCUCCUCGCUCCUCGCCACCGUAGCCUCACCUUCGUCUACCACUGUUGUACACCGACCGGCAACCAGAGAGCUCAAUGGUACUAUAGAGCCAAGGACACUGUGUACUUGAAUCAUUUCCAAAUUUGCAGAAGCUAAAGAGGAUAGUUCUGAAAUGACUCUCCUGGAUAUGUAUUCUGGUUGUGGAGCAAUGUUUACUGGAUUAUGUCUAGGAGCUAAUAGUUGUGGUGUUAAUCUGGUUACUGCAAGUUAUAAUUUCUUUUGAAAAUUUAUCUUUGCUUGUCAAGUUGGUAAAUUGUAUUAAAUUUUCAAUUGAUAUAAUGAUGCUAUAUUUAAUUUGGCAAAGAUCAAUGGAAGAUUGCUUUUCAGUUCUGUUGUAAUUGUGAUUCUGUACUAAGUGAUGUCUUAGUUGAAUUAUAUCCUUAGUUGAUGGUGAAAUGAAAUUUGAAGAAAAUAAUUAAUAAGAAAACAAAAAAAUUACAGUGUUGGAGGCGUUAUGAACAUAAGAACAUUGUGAUUUGUUCUCCUGUAUGUAUUCAUCAAGGAUACUGUUUAUUAUAGAGUGUAUUUGUGGUUGAUAUUAUAAGGUAAUAAUAGACUUAUAUUAUGUGAUAAGAGGAAUAGAUGUUUUGGUGAAUAUGGACUGAUGUUUUGAAACUUUUUAAUUUGUUUGCAUAUCAAUUCCAUCCCAAUUUGGAUUAUCUGCCUGGUAGGAACUAGAAACAUAGAUUCUUGUUUUGAUUUCUAUUUGCAAUCCAUCUAAACUGAAUCACAAUACAGGUCAAGAAGGUUGUGAAGGUUUCUCGUGCUAUCUGCAUAAUGAGUCAUCCUAUCCCCCCCACACAUGACUCUCAUUCUGCUCAGGUUAUUUUUCCACAAAAACAACUUAGUUGCAAAUCAGACAUUUAUUAUUAUCAGGUGUUAGAAAUGCCAUCCAAAUUGCUGCAUUAUUAGCUAAGGAGCAGAUCUGCAGUUCAACACUGCUAGGGCGUAUAUUGAUGCUCCCUUGGUGGAUUUUGGUACCUUUUUGGGUGCUCAAUUGUGCUGACUCAACAUGAUGAAUUGGAGGCUAAGUUUCUUGAAGAGAGAGCAACACUUGAAGCCAAGUAUCAUAUGCUUUAUCAACCACUAUAUACAAAGAGAUAUGAAAUAGUGAAUGGUAUAGUUGAAGUUGAAGGUGAGAAAGCUGAAGCAGUGCCGGAUUUGAAGGAGGUUGUGGAUGCUGCAUUGAUCAAAGCCAUUGAAGCAGUGCCGGAUUUGAAGGCUUAAUUGGGUGCAGCGAGCAUACUUAUGUAGUAUCAAAUAAGUAUAUUUUCAUACUUAAGUAGUACGGAGUAUGAAUCAAGUAGUAUAUAUUUUUUAUGUUUUUUUUAUG